CUUUCAAUAUUAAGUCCUCAGAUUUGUUGAUCUGACAACGGAUAUAUUUCAGUUUAUGAUUGAAGGAAAACGCAAAAUACAUCUUACAGACGUGAACACGGAAGGUUUCUCGACUCUUGAACAAGACCGUCUAUCGACGUGUCUUUUUUUUUAUUGAUUUCAAAAUAUAUGGACUGGUUGACUUCCGUGCGAACCUUGAAGCCCCUGACCGCUGUCUGGAUUGGUUUGACAGAUUCAGAAUGAGGAGUGCUGCAGUCGUGGCAGCAUGUGCAGCAGUGUCAAGGACAUCACACCACCACCAGUCUGGUGCCACAAAUUUCUGUUGACUGAUUGGAAGCCAUCAGAUCUACACAUGGAAGUCUCUUUAUGAAACAUACCUACAUAUUUCCACUUAUGACUCCCAUCCAUGACUAAUUUUCUCCCAAAGCUCUCUCUACUCACUGUACUAAAAAUCUGAUUACUGAGUCUGUUCCAUUCAUUUAACACUAUUUGAUAAACAAUUUCUUUCUACCUCUGUUAGAUUAAACUUUAUCAAGCCUGA